UUAGAAUUAACUUAUCAAAUAAGUAAUCCCAACGGAAAGAGGAAUUGGGUCCAACCAUGUGCUAACAAGGUUAUCAUGAACCCAAUGGAUUUCUCUAAACCCAAUUGACACUUCAUAGGCUUAAUUACUUGUUCCAGGUCUAAUUCCUUUAUUGUGUGACCUUAUAGGUUCAAUUCUAUCUGGUAGUGAGACAUACAAUGAUCUCUAUCAUUGUAUCAUUGAAACUCUUUUCAAUGGAUCGGAAUAAUUCUACUCUAACUCAAUAAGGAUUAUCGAUUCAAAACAAUCUUAGUGAGCUCUCACAAUCCACUAGUGACACCUAGCGGUAUGUAGUGGCAACCCAGUAGAACUAAAACGAAUCUCUAGGUGUAGUUAACAUGUGAUUUAGUCUCUCUAUCGUGAGUCCUGACUAGAUGGCAGGUCAUGGAUAAAUCGUCAAAUUUCAACAUCGGUCAUAUGAUAUAUUCAAUCAGCUUAAGACCAUAUGUGAUUGUAUGAAAAUUUUUUUCUAUCAAUCACACUGCUAUGAUCAUAUAGACUUAAAGACUCAGCCUCUUAAAUCUCAUAAGACUAUUCCCUUCUGCUAGAAUCGAUAGAUUUCAUUUUGAUGCACACCCCACUCCUAUAGUGGACCAACUGUCGCCAACAUCCACUACAAGGGCUCUUUGAGAUCCAUGUUGAUGUGUCAGUCAAACUCCAGCAGCCUCACUGCAAGCAGUAGUGUCAUCUCAGGUCAAAAGACUAGUCAUACAACUGCAGCAUCGAGAAAGUCACUAACGAGUGAGCAGACAUCCAUGUGACUUCUCGUGUUGGUCACGCUCAGUGUUAGUUAUUCUCUAACAACCAUUUGUACUCUCGCUCCAGUGUCUCUACGCUGCAGACUCGAGAUCCAUCUGUCCGAAGGAAGUGAUCCAUGCACUGGUCUAUCCGGAUCAAUCACCAUCUCUGUGAGAUCCUAUGAUCAGGAGCAAUUUAGGAAUCAACUAUCAAUGACAUAUGCUUCAAACUCUCAACUCUUUGAGAAUGUGUCAUCAUCUUGUUAAUCCCUUGGAUAAUUCAUGGACACAGACAUGAAUUGUAAUAUAACUGCCCAAUAAGUACAAAAUCAUGUCUUAGAGAUAUGAAAUGUGUCAGCCAAGAUUGGCUUCUAGGGCAUACAUCCAACAUAUGCUUCUAAGAAAAAUAUCUAAAUCUGAUAUUAGAUGAAUAGCUUAUACAUUUGCAUAGAUUGAACAUAGC
rnacentral:lncRNA from 1 species